AAAAAUUAAUGAUAUAAAAAUCUUUUUUCAUCAAAAACUAUAAAAAAAAUCUAAUUUGAAAUGAUUGACAUUUCAAAUAUAUAAUAAAAAUAUUACAAUUUACGACAACUACCUUACACCAUAAUUUACCAGAUGACAUCUUUACUAAACUACAAUCUAUAAGCACUGAAGCUGAUCUUAAGAAAUCGUCGACACUAAUCAACAAGCUCAGAUUAUUACAGCCUGAUAAGACUCGAAACAAGAAAAUUAGCCAUUUCAAUGCUGCGGUCGAAAAUAAGAACGAAAGUUUUUUAGAGUAGAUUACCCGAUUAGCUCAACAUGAAUUGCAACGUUGUUGUAUACGAUAAGGUUAUAGAGAAAAUAAAGGUGUUCAGGCUUGUCUAAAAUAAAGUACAGGAUUAAAAAUUUACUCAUUUUAGAUGAUGUCAUAAAGAUAGGUAAAGAAUUAGAUGAAACUGAUAUCGAAACAUCAUACAUAAGAUCGUUAUCAAAGGUAACACAAACUCUUAUGUAAAACAUGUGGAGGGAGCAAGACAAGAUAAGAAAGUUAACAAACAAAAGCCAACUAACAGCAGAUAUGAUAAUGCCCAGAUGAUACUGUAUGAUGAGACCAACAGAAUUACGAUAAUCAUUCAAACAACAGUUAAGACAACCAUGACAGACACGACCACAUCAUGACAACCAAAGAUUUAGAGAAAUUUCUUAUGUUCUUUUCAAUAAUUAGGACACAAGAUAUAAUAACAAUAAUAGAUUUAAUAAUAACAAUUAUGGAUAUAAUAAUAAUUACAAGCCUUUUAAUGAUUUUAAAUACAACAACAGAUUUGACAACAAUAGACAACCGUUAAAAAAUGUUAGAGGUUAUAAUAUCCAAUGUGCAUCAACAAUUUUACGAUCGCGACAAUAAAAAUUACGUGACUCAUAAUCCUAGACAUCGCCUUACUUAAAUAAGAUGAAUACAGUUAAUAUAGAAGUGAUAGAAGUCUCUUACUCCCUGCCUACUUUAACAUAUAUAACAAAUAAAAAAUUUAAUUUACUGUACCUAUACCCAAGAAAAUUUCUAAAAUCCAAACCACUAACUUGGUUAAAACUCUGAAAGUGAAGAAAGAAGAGAUUGAUUUCGAGAUGAAUUAAAUGCUUAAAAUAAUACAAAUGGAAACAAAAUUGAUAAUAUUUUAGACAAAAGAGGGGACAAUUAAAAAGUUGGAGUUGAACAAAAUAAUAAAGAAAGAAGAGCUAUUGAUAUUGAGUUGAAGGCUAUAAAUAAUAUAAAUAGAAGCAAUGUUGAUGAUAUUUUACACAAAGGAAGAUGAGGCUAUGAAAGAGGUGAGGAAUAAACUACAUUUAAAAUACAGUUGUUCAAUUUUAAACUAUGCUUUAUAUUAUAUAAUAAAAGAGUAAUUGAAGUUCCGAGAGAUAUAAAAAUUGAAAGCAAAAGGUUAAGAGAAAGAAAAUAGAAGCUAUAGGUGUUCAAUCUGAAAAUAUCUCUUAUGUUAUUAAAAUUUAUGUGAUUACAGAUAAAAUUAAAUAUAGGCAUGAUUCUUAUUAGGAUGGUAUAGCCUGUUUUUGGUAGCAACAAUCCAUAUAGAGAUUUCCAGAUCUGUAUGAUGAUGAUAAUGUAAUAGCUGCUAUCGUUCAUCCUAGUUUCAAGUUAAAUUGGCUAUACAUUAAUUUGACAUCUAAAUGGCAACUUGAUAGGCUGAUGGUAACAUUAAAAAAUGCGAUGCCUAACCACGAUACUAAUACUAUAGCAAGAUCGAAACCGCGGCCUUACAUAGACGAUUUUUUUAAAAUAAAUAAUAAUAAUAUUAUUGAACCUCUAGAUUAUUAUUUUAAUUCUAAAAAUACUCAUUUAAAUAUCUUUGAUGAUUUUUUUCAUAUAAAAUGUGUGUUUAUUAUUAAUACUGCGUUGCCCUCAAGUGCUAGUGCUGAACGAUUAUUUAGUAUGGCAAAGCUUAUACUUUCUGAUCGUCGCUCUAGACUUGGGGAUGACAGUACAAAAUGUUAUUAUUAUAAAGUGCAAUAUUAAAUAAAUUAUAUAUAUAUAUAUAUAUAUAAUAUAUAUAUAUAUAUAUAUGUGUAACAAAUUAUAGUCAUGUUUUUAUACCAAUAUUUUAUUUGUGGAAAUAAAGUUAUGUAAAAAAUUUUAAAAAAAAAAUCAAAAUAGAGUAAAGAGUAGCUAAUAGCGCGCCACUCAUUUGAAAACGAUAGCGAUAGCGCACUAUUUUUUUUAUAAAAUAGCAGCGGUAGGCGUUUAACAACAUUGAUAUGGAGAGAUUUGUCAUUA